CCUACGGGAGGCAGCAGUGAGGAAUAUUGGUCAAUGGACGAGAGUCUGAACCAGCCAAGUAGCGUGAAGGAUGACUGCCCUAUGGGUUGUAAACUUCUUUUAUAUGGGAAUAAAAUGUUCCACGUGUGGGAUUUUGUAUGUACCAUAUGAAUAAGGAUCGGCUAACUCCGUGCCAGCAGCCGCGGUAAUACGGAGGAUCCGAGCGUUAUCCGGAUUUAUUGGGUUUAAAGGGAGCAUAGGUGGAUUGUUAAGUCAGUUGUGAAAGUUUGCGGCUCAACCGUAAAAUUGCAGUUGAAACUGGCAGUCUUGAGUACAGUAGAGGUGGGCGGAAUUCGUGGUGUAGCGGUGAAAUGCUUAGAUAUCACGAAGAACUCCGAUUGCGAAGGCAGUUCACUGGACUGCAACUGACACUGAGGCUCGAAAGUGUGGGUAUCAAACAGGAUUAGAUACCCCUGUAGUC
rnacentral:rRNA from 1 species